rnacentral:misc_RNA from 1 species
GCCCUCUCUUUCAUUUCUUCCUCCAUUAAAACUCAAAUUUAAGCUUUGGUAACCGUAAAUUUCUUUAUAAAUCCCUUCUAAAACGUGUGGAAAACCUCAAAUUGAACCUCAAGGAAAAGAUUGGGAGGAGAAAACUUGAGGAAAAUUUGAAGAAACAAAAAAUUAGAAAAGCAAUAAUUGAGGUAAGCAAAUCAAAUCAUUUCUCUUAGUAUCAAUGAUUGAUUGAGAGUAGAAAUAAAUGAAAUUUUAGGAUGAAACUUGAAAACAAA